GUAAUCACGUGGCGUAUGCGGAAGUGUUUUUGUUUUGAGAACAGAAGCGUGGAAGCAGGUGAAGUGACGGGAAAUAUCCGAUCCGCAAAAUUAAAGAAAGGUGGGAAAGUGACCCAGAUGAGAUCAGCUGCAGAUGAGGCCAGAAGGCUGAUCCAGCUAAUGCACAUGUGCGUUCUCGAGUUGACUGACAGGUGAUUUCUAUAUUUGAAAGGACAGUGGGAAGGAUCUUGCUCUUCCUUUGGUUGAUUCUCAUGCACAGCACUUGAUUCAGAAGCGUAUUGCUAUAGAGAAGCUCAGCAGAAGUUUGAGAGAUGGCAUAGUGUCUAACAACGGGUGAUGUCAUCUAUGACAUCAGUAAUUUGGUCAGGACUUUCAGGUUUACAAACACAAAUAUAAUUCACAAAAACCCUGAAUGAACUAUAAUUGCAGUGGUUCUUCUGUCCGUGUUAACGGGAAUAUCUCCAUUGCUGAGAGAGACUUUGGCAAGUCCAUGUUCGGUGGAGUACAUUUCCUCUCUCUUUAGAGAGCUGAAACUGGAGGACAAAGAUCUGCACAGCCUUGUGCUGCACUUUAAACCCCAAAUCACUCUACAAACAUAAUGUAUUGCACACACAUUCAGAUUAACUCUUUAUAAUAAAAGCCUAUCUGUAACAAACGGUCGGGCAUCAUUUGUUUUCAGUAUUUUAAACUACACUUGACUGAUAUUAGAUUGAAGUCAUUUAUACUGUCUGGUACCCUCAAUGAUUUCUUUUUCUUUUUUUAUUUGACAUUGUCAUGAGUACUCAACUAAUUUUGAUCCAGAAUAUCAGUGCUUAAAACCUCUUUAAACGGACAAUAAGUUAGUUUUAGUUUGACUAAUUGUUUUACUUCAAUUUUAAUAAAUGUUAUGUAGGAUUAAAGAUAUCGGAAAACUUUGAUCCCCCUUAAAGGAAUAUUCCGGUUUCAAUACAAGUUAAGCUCAGUCGACAGCAUUUGUGACAGUACUGAUUGUUCCUCCUUUUCUUUAAAAAAAAGCAAAAAGUUACAGUGAGGCACUUACAAUGGAAGUGAAUGGGGCCAAUCAGUAAACGUUAAAAUACUCUCUGUAUCAAAAGUAUAGCCACAAGAUGCAAACCAUUUGUAUGAUAAAAUCACUUACUAAUCUUUUCUGUAUAAAGUUAUAGCCAAAUUUACAGCUUUGUUGCCAUGAUGAUGUAAUGUCAACAAACCUAAAAAUAUAUUUAAAAAUGACAAUUUGAACAACUUUACAGCUCAAAUAAUACAUGAGUUUUAAUGGAAGAAAUAUUGUAAGUGCUUUUAUAAAUUUAUAAGCUUCACAUUUCUGUUUAAACCCUCCAAAAAUUGGCCCCAUUCACUUCCAUUGUAAGUCUCACUGUAACUUUGAGUUUUGCUUUUUUUAAAGAAAAAAUCAAAAUUAUUUUUUGUGGUAAUCAACAUUAUGCCAUAAAUUCUAUUGCUUGAGCUUAACUUGUAUUGAACCUGGAAUAUUCCUUUGAGGAUUAGUAGCCUAAUGUAUUUCUAUGUAUGUAUGUUCAUGAAAUUUAUAUUAUAAAUAUAUGCAAUUGCACUGUAAAUAUAAAUGUAAUUGUUGUUAUUGUACAGAGUGAGCUAUUUUAUUUUAUUUUUUUAAAUGCACAUCAAACUUUCAUAACUAACUAAUUUCUGCAAGCGAUAUGAAAUUGCUACAUGUGAAAUGCACAAACUAAUGUUAUUAAACAGUU